GUGAAGCGGCAAAAGCUCAAAUUUGAAAUCUGGCUCUUUCAGAGUCCGAGUUGUAAUUUGAAGAAGGUAUCUUUGGGUCUGGCUCUUGUCUAUGUUUCUUGGAACAGAACGUCACAGAGGGUGAGAAUCCCGUGCGAUGAGAUGAUCCAGGCCUAUGUAAAGUUCCUUCGAAGAGUCGAGUUGUUUGGGAAUGCAGCUCUAAGUGGGUGGUAAAUUCCAUCUAAAGCUAAAUAUUGGCGAGAGACCGAUAGCGAACAAGUACAGUGAUGGAAAGAUGAAAAGAACUUUGAAAAGAGAGUGAAAAAGUACGUGAAAUUGUUGAAAGGGAAGGGCUUGAGAUCAGACUUGGUAUUUUGUAUGUUACUUCUUCGGGGGUGGCCUCUACAGUUUAUCGGGCCAGCAUCAGUUUGGGCGGUAGGAGAAUUGCGUUGGAAUGUGGCACGGCUUCGGUUGUGUGUUAUAGCCUUCGUCGAUACUGCCAGCCUAGACUGAGGACUGCGGUUUAUACCCUAGGAUGUUGGCAUAAUGAUCUUA
rnacentral:rRNA from 1 species